UAAAAACUGUAGCUGUAUCAACCACAAGAGUAGACUGAGACUCAUGAUCAUCAACUCUCAGCAAGAAACUGACCUAAAGUUCACUUCAGUUGUAAACUGUUGUUCCUUUUUAGCAGGCUUGUUCACAAAGGACUUAGCGAAGCCUAGUCCAGGCUUUUAGACAUUGCAACUGACAAGAAAAGAACACUGAAAUAGCACUAAAUAAUGAAAUGAUUAUGCUUUCUAGUGUUGCUGUGGUGGCCCACUGUGAUUGGCACCAAAGUCUUACCACCUCGAGCUCCUCCUUUAUUUAGUCUCUCUUCAUCACCUUGUUAUCAGCCUGCCAUUUAUGCAUUCAUAAUUAUAAGAUUUUCAUAAAAAAUUGAAAUUAUAAUUGCAA
rnacentral:lncRNA from 1 species